rnacentral:lncRNA from 1 species
AUGCUGUUAAAUAUUCAUGAGCUGCAUAAGUGGGAGAAGACCUCGCUAGGCCUGAUGACUUUCAGAGAGAGGAGGGAAGGGGGGGGAACGGGGACGGGGGGGACACGGUGGCAUCCACACGCAGUGGCUGUGCUGGUGGGGAAAGGAGACGGAGGCCUGCUCUGCAGAGGAGGGGAGGUCUCUGGCAGACAGCGCCUGGGUUGGGGAGGGCAGCGGGGAUGGCAGGUCCCCUCCACGCCUCUGGACACAGACCCGUUGCAUGCGGGGCGCCCGUGCUGGGASACCUCCCCCCAGCCCCAGGGCGGGCGGGGGGGGGGGUUUGGCUGCAAAUCACCCGAGUUGAGUUCAAAAAUAGGAAUGAGGCUUUCGGGGACCAGUCUGAACUCCCAGCAUCUUCCGAAGCGUACGGCUGGCGACGGAGGGGCGGACGGGCAGCGGAAGGGCUGCCUGGCCGGGAGGCAGGGCGCAGCCUUGGUCCCCCGGCCGAGGGCUGCGAGAAGCUGCCGCGGGGUUCGCCCACCUCUUGCACACCUCUCCUCCUUGAGGCUGGAGGUGCCUCUCUCUCCAUUGGCUACAGGGGGAGCCAAGACAUCGAGCUAAGCCUGGAUGCACGGUUUAUCCCUGGAUGAAGUUAGGCAAGAGGUCUGUUGGUGAUGUGCUCCCGUAGGGCACUUGCUGGCUGGUUUUGAGACUGCUGGGUCAAAGCUGUCAAAUCCACAGCAAAAAAAUUUCCCGGCAAAGAUGGAAGUGGAACAUCUCCCCUUCCCAGGGGAUGGCUCUAGCAAAGGGCAGGCCUAAUGGCAACGCUGUUAGCUUUAACCUUGCUAGGACAGGUAACCAAACCAGGAACUCGUGCCCCCAAACCCAAAUGAGCCGUCAGCACCCGCAUGUCCUGCAGCGAGGAGUUCCCCAGCUCUGGCCUGUCCAUCCCGGCAUGAGCAGCGCUCCAGCCCCGGCUCUGGCUGUCCGUUGUGCAAAGCGUGUGGGUAUUUAGCCCAGGGAUGGGGUCUCUCAUGGUCAUGAGGGGUCUAAGUCACUUGUGCUGAGGCCAGAGGAAAUGUAACAUCUCCCAUUGCCCUUCUCAAUAGCUACCCUACAACUCACCCCRUUUUUUGCUGCACUGCCUGGCUCAAAAGUCUCAGUAACUCCCAACGGGUCUCCCUGACAUAUAUACCAGAGCCUUCUGUGGUUUUUUGCCCAGCAAAAAGAGAAACAAAAGUGGGGGGGACUUAAAUAAACAAGAGUUAUGUGAAUGACA